GCACUGAUACCGAACUUGGUGGAGGAGAAGGAUGGCAUCAGUGGGUAUCUGGGUGGUUGCCUGGACAAGGGAGUUCAGCCUUCGGGAGAUAAAGCAGGAUAUGGAGGCCAUAAAUUGUCUAUCCUGGUGAAUGUUUGCAGCACACUCGAAAAGACCAGGUAUCCACUGGGAGCCAUUGUCAGUAUGCCACCGUAACCAACAGCACCAAAGAUGAUGCCUUGGAUUUGAGGAGACCAGUCAUACACAGGAGCCUUAGAGAAACAGAGAAUGCUGUAGUAAACCUUACACAAAAAGAUUCUCACAUACCC